GUGAGAGAGGUGCUGGGUGUUGGGUGCGUCAGGGUUCUGCGCUUUUUUGCGCUUAUUUUGUUGAAAUAAGUUUCCUGUCAAGCGUUACUGUGUCGUGGACAACUACAGACUUACUUCGGUCGCUAGGGGCUUCAUUGAAUAUCCACACAGCCCCAAAAAUGGAGGUGGACAACGUCCAAGCCCUUAAAAAUGAACCGUUGCCCCAUGAUGAACCAGAGGGUAUCACAAAGAUCGAUUUGGAGGGCACACUUAAGAGAGCCAUCAGCACCGUGACCCGCGCCACCGAACUGGACCUGGAGGGGAUGUACAGCGAGGCGGUGACCCAGUACGACGCCGCGCUGCGCGACUUCGACUGCGUCGUCGCUCAGGAGAUGAGUCAGGCGGUUCGCGACUGCGUCAUGGCCAAGAUGGACGCCUACGCGCACCGUUCGGAGAAGCUGAAGGCGUUCCUGUCGCGCAGCCGGUCGCCGAGUCUGGACGGCGGCAGCCUGGGGCCGGCCGACAGUGAGACAGCCGAGACGGGCGCCUCCUCCGACAGCGGAGUCGAGACGUUCGACGACGGGGCCCACAACGCGCACAACCUGUCGGCGGACUCCGGAGCCGAGGAGCCGACCUAUUCGACCGUAUACGAGCCGCGCAGCCACCAGCAGCGCUCGAGACGGCAGUUUCUGGACGCCUGCGCCGAGCAGGUCGAACAGCUACUGCAGAUCAUCAAAGACGAGCGCGAGCCCCAGGACAUCCGCGACCGCGCGCGCAAGCGCUGCAUCCAGAUUCUCGACUUUGCCGAGGCGUACCAGCGCGACUUUCUGCCGGGCGGCGGUGCCGACGCGGCGACGGGUGGCUGCGACGCUCCGGCCCCGGCGCCGCUGGUGGCUCGCACUGUGAGCGUGGCCUCGAGUGUGGCCGGCGCCGAGCCGCUGCUGACCCGCCAGCUCGUGCACGCCGAGGUGCUGCACUCGGCCGACCUGGAGCCCGCCGCCGCCGACGGCGACGAGCGGACCGACGCCGGCGACGGCGACGCCGACUCGUGCCCCGAGGUGCCUGACGAUGGAGGCGACGAGUUCCACCCGCUCAGCUUCAGCCUGGCCAGCCUGCGCUUCGCUGACGCCGAGUCGUCGGGCCGCUCCGAGUCGCCCGACUACGCCACCGUGCGCCGCAGCGCCUCGUCGCCGCGCAAGUACCUCAGCCAGUCAUCGCUGAACCGUAUCGAGACCGAGGCUGAGCCGCUGCUGGAUAGCCCGGACGGGCCGACCGUGCGCGCCUCGGUGCUGCCGGCCACGGCCCGCCGGCCGGCCAAGCAGCACUGGUGGCGCCGCCGGCGCGGCUCUGAACACGACCCCGAACCGCUGGAGAAGGGCCUGGCCGAGCCGGGCGUAUUCUGGGUGCUGCUUGGCAGCCUGUGCGGCUAAACAGUGACAGGAUGGGGAGUCAAGGGCUCUCGGACAGACAUUGAAAGGAGAAAGGUCUGCGGAUGAUAGCAUGAGGUGUGUGGAGAGUGAGUGAGUGAGACCCGCCGCAGUGCUGGCGGUGGAGUGGGGACCGCUGAGGGCCGAAUAAGGACCAUUGACGGUCAGCGGACAGACUGAGGUCAGGCAGGUGACCUGACCGGUCAGCAUUUACGGGGGCGGGGAGGGAGGGGGACCAGCAGCUCGGCGCCAGGGUACAGGUGGUGACGGCAGCGUAACGGGCCGUCACAGGCCGUUCACGUGACGAUCUGCGUAGGUCGAGGGUGUGUGUCUCUGCUCUUUCAGUUACGUGUGAAUACUCGUGCGUCUGACGAUAACCGAAACUUGGACCAAGGGAUUCUUGUUUGGCCGUAGUAUCGCGUGCUACUUGAUCGUGUGCUACGUGAUUUGUAUUACUGUUGUGAUUUUUUGUGUUGAAUGAAUGAACUUUCAACUUUUAUAGCUGGGUUAUUGUAAUCUCUCCUAAAUUGUCGCCAAGCUGGCCUUUUCUUGGGGAAUUAGGAUGGGAUGUCGCCCCGACAAGGGUGAGAGCAGGUUGCCUGGUUCCUCUCUCGUCGCGCUAGAGCGCGAUGCGUUGAGUGGCUGAGUGAUUGAGUAAAUUUUUCCGCGUAAUAACCGGACAUGUGUAUGCGAAUAUGUUCGUUUUGUACGGACCGCGUUUGGAUAUGAACGCGAGUGUGCCGUUUUGUUACGUACAUUGUGCUCUGUCAUGAGGAGAGUGAGAGUUGGUGCUGAUAAUGUAUACAGUUUGAGAGAUAGCAGGGACGUCGGCGGACGCCGGCGGUGCCCCGUAGUUGACCGUGUCCCUGAACCUGUGUAGUGUGUUAUACAGCGUGUUUGUUUGUGUGUGUGGGCGUCAUUGUGACCAUGUCAGGUGGGCGGUGCGUAUUGCAGUUGCGGUGCGUAUUGACGAGCGGCAGACAUACCUAUAUACAUGACCGUAGUCAGUGGUGAACACUGAACCCUGUAGCGGCGCUCGGCUAGCGGGCGCCGGCGUAUUCCAGCUAGCCUGUGCAUGUUUAGCUGCUGCAUGUUAUAGCGUCGGUGUCUGUGCGUAGUGGCGGCUGUGUCGGGCAGCGCCCGCGCCCCGCCGCACCCCCUGAGAUUAUCGCAACGGAGGCAAUAGGUCGCGCGCGCGCGCGCGCGCGCGUGUGGAACGGAUGUGGCGCCGUCCGCGGCGGCAGCCGGCUGUGGAGUGUGUACAAAUCGGCACCGCGCCGGCCCCGGGACCAGCCCUCACCGACCGACCAGAGUUUUAUACGGUAUUUUUCCACGGGGCGGCUCGCGCGGCGUGUGUGUGACAUGUGGCUCCAGCGCAGCCCUGCCGCUGCUGGCCGGUCAGAGCUUCCAGUGAGCGCGCGCGUGCCCACCGCAGCUGUCCAGGCAGCAGCCCCGCAGGAGGGCGCAAUAAUCUCCAACAGCUGCUCUCGCACCGUAUUUCCCCUACGUGCUUUCCGUCAACAUCUGUAUAUCCGACCGAGCGCGCGGUUCUUCGUUCGUCUCGCUGUAGCGUCUUGUGUUGCAGGCCGGUGGGGCGGCUGUACCGCCUGGUCCGCGGCUGGUGGUCCGGGCGGUCCUCCGGCCGGUCCGCGGUCCCGCCUCCCCACGGAGUGCGGCGUGAUGGCGGUCACCGGCCGGGGUCCCGCCGGUUCUGCGGGCCUGGGGAGGGAGCCACGGCCGGGCGGCCGACCGGCCUGUGAGCUGGACGGUCCGACCCGAGUCAUCCGGCAACUGAACUGACUGAUCACAGCUGUCUGUCCAAUGUCUAUAUCGGACCAAUACACGCCCCACUUUUGAGGAAA
rnacentral:misc_RNA from 1 species